rnacentral:tRNA from 1 species
AGCCGUCUGGUGAAAUGGCAUCGCGUCUGACUGCGAAUCAGGAGAUUGCAGAUUCGACCCCUGCGGUGGUCG